rnacentral:rRNA from 1 species
AGAGUUUGAUCAUGGCUCAGAACGAACGCUGGCGGCGUGAUAAGACAUGCAAGUCGUGCGGGGAAACAUGAGUAGCAAUAUUCAGGUUUCUUAGCGGCGAAAGGGUGAGUAACACGUGGGUAAUUUGCCGCGAAGAUCGGAACAACUUGCCGAAAGGCGAGCUAAUGCCGAAUGUAAUUCUUGGAUGACAUCAUCCGAAAAUCAAAGCUGGGGACCGUAAGGCCUGGCGCUUCGCGAUAAACCCGCGUCCUAUCAGCUAGUUGGUGAGGUAAAAGCUCACCAAGGCGAAGACGGGUAGCUGGUCUGAGAGGACGACCAGCCACACUGGAACUGAGACACGGUCCAGACACCUACGGGUGGCAGCAGUCGAGAAUUUUUCACAAUGGGCGCAAGCCUGAUGGAGCGACGCCGCGUGGGGGAUGAAUGGCUUCGGCCCGUAAACCCCUGUCAUUUGUGAACAAGCCUUUUCAGUUAAUAGCUGAAAAGUUGAUAGUAGCAAAAGAGGAAGGGACGGCUAACUCUGUGCCAGCAGCCGCGGUAAUACAGAGGUCCCAAGCGUUGUUCGGAUUCACUGGGCGUAAAGGGUGCGUAGGUGGCCGGGUAAGUUCGGUGUGAAAGCUCCAAGCUCAACUUGGAAAUGUCAUCGAAAACUACUCGGCUUGAGGAUUGAAGGGGAGACUGGAAUUCUCGGUGUAGCAGUGAAAUGCGUAGAUAUCGAGAGGAACACCGGUGGCGAAGGCGAGUCUCUGGGCAAAUCCUGACACUGAGGCACGAAAGCUGGGGGAGCAAACAGGAUUAGAUACCCUAGUAGUCC